rnacentral:lncRNA from 1 species
AGUUACUAGAUAUGCAUGUUUGCACUCUUACAUUCAUAUCAAUUAGUCAGUUAGCAUCGUUCAUGUAUGUAAAACCUUUUGCAUUUAGCCUACCUCACUCGUAUACUCAGUACUCCCAGUUGUACUGACGCAUUUGCGCUAUAGUACUUUCUUUCACGUUACAUCAUAGGUUCACAGAUACGAGCUUUAGAUUAACAUUAGUAGUAGCAUUCCAGUCGCAGAGUUGCAGUGAGUCCUCAUCCAUUCGAGGAUGAUAUUAUUUAUUUCAUUUAUUAAUUUAGUUCAGUUUUACUAGACAGAGUUAGUUGGAGACAUGUUCUUUCAACUCCUUAUUCAGAC